AGAGAUGGAUUGGUGCCUUCGGAACGUCUGACACACGGUGCUGCAUGGCUGUCGUCAGCUCGUGUCGUGAGAUGUUGGGUUAAGUCCCGUAACCGAGCGCAGCCCUAUUGCCAGUUGCUACCAGGUAAUGCUGGGCACUCUGGUGAGACUGCCCGGUUAACGGGGAGGAAGGUGGGGACGACGUCAAGUCAUCAUGGCCCUUACGCCUAGGGCUACACACGUACUACAAUGGCGCAUACAAAGGGCAGCGAUACCGCGAGGUGGAGCCAAUCCCAAAAAGUGCGUCCCAGUCCGGAUUGCAGUCUGCAACUCGACUGCAUGAAGUUGGAAUCGCUAGUAAUUCGAGAUCAGCAUGCUCGGGUGAAUGCGUUCCCGGGCCUU
rnacentral:rRNA from 1 species